AGCUAUAGCUGUGCUACCCUGAACAAGCCCAAUCCCGUCUGAUCUCAGAAGGUAAGGGUCAGGCCUGGUUAGUACUUGGAUGAGAGACCACCUAGGAAGACCAGGUGCUGUAGGUG
rnacentral:rRNA from 1 species